UGCUUGAGUAACCAAAAAUAUUAGGAAAGAAAUCGUUAAGGGCGUAUGGCGGAUGCCUAGGCUUUCAGAGGCGACGAAGGACGUGGUAAGCUGCGAAAAGCUACGGGGAUUGGCACACACGAAUUGAUCCGUAGAUAUCCGAAUGGGGCAACCCAAUACAUUGAAGAUGUAUUACUGCGCAAGCAGGGCAAACCCGGAGAACUGAAACAUCUAAGUACCCGGAGGAAAAGAAAUCGAAGAGAUUCCGUAAGUAGUGGC
rnacentral:rRNA from 1 species